UGCGCUUACAAUCCGUCAGAGCCCUCCUUCGUGGUGGGGUGAUGGCGUGCCUUUUGAAGAAUGAGCCUGCGAGUCAGGGGCAUGUCGCGAGGUUAACCCGGGUGGGGUAGCCGUAGCGAAAGCGAGUCUGAAUAGGGCGUAUCCCCGUGAGGGGUGUAGUGGCAUGUUCUGGACCCGAAGCGGAGUGAUCUACCCAUGGCCAGGGUGAAGCGCGGGUAAGACCGUGUGGAGG
rnacentral:rRNA from 1 species